rnacentral:rRNA from 1 species
UGGAGCAUGUGGUUAAUUCGAAGCAACGCGAAGAACCUUACCAGGCCUUGACAUGCAGAGAACUUUCCAGAGAUGGAUUGGUGCCUUCGGGAACUCUGACACAGGUGCUGCAUGGCUGUCGUCAGCUCGUGUCGUGAGAUGUUGGGUUAAGUCCCGUAACGAGCGCAACCCUUGUCCUUAGUUACCAGCACGUUAUGGUGGGCACUCUAAGGAGACUGCCGGGUGACAAACCGGAGGAAGGUGGGGGAUGACGUCAAGUCAUCAUGGCCCUUACGGCCUGGGCUACACACGUGCUACAAUGGUCGGUACAAAGGGUUGCCAAGCCGCGAGGUGGAGCUAAUCCCAUAAAACCGAUCGUAGUCCGGAUCGCAGUCUGCAACUCGACUGCGUGAAGUCGGAAUCGCUAGUAAUCGUGAAUCAGAAUGUCACGGUGAAUACGUUCCCGGGCCUU